GAUGAACGCUGGCGGCGUGCCUAAUACAUGCAAGUCGAGCGAACAGACGAGGAGCUUGCUCCUCUGACGUUAGCGGCGGACGGGUGAGUAACACGUGGAUAACCUACCUAUAAGACUGGGAUAACUUCGGGAAACCGGAGCUAAUACCGGAUAAUAUAUUGAACCGCAUGGUUCAAUAGUGAAAGACGGUUUUGCUGUCACUUAUAGAUGGAUCCGCGCCGCAUUAGCUAGUUGGUAAGGUAACGGCUUACCAAGGCAACGAUGCGUAGCCGACCUGAGAGAGUGAUCGGCCACACUGGAACUGAGACACGGUCCAGACUCCUACGGGAGGCAGCAGUAGGGAAUCUUCCGCAAUGGGCGAAAGCUUGACGGAGCAACGCCGCGUGAGUGAUGAAGGUCUUCGGAUCGUAAAACUCUGUUAUUAGGGAAGAACAAAUGUGUAAGUAACUAUGCACGUCUUGACGGUACCUAAUCAGAAAGCAACGGCUAACUACGUG
rnacentral:rRNA from 1 species